GACGAACGCUGGCGGCGCGCCUAACACAUGCAAGUCGAACGAGCGAGAGAGAGCUUGCUUUCUCGAGCGAGUGGCGAACGGGUGAGUAACGCGUGAGGAACCUGCCUCAAAGAGGGGGACAACAGUUGGAAACGACUGCUAAUACCGCAUAAGCCCACGACCCGGCAUCGGGUAGAGGGAAAAGGAGCAAUCCGCGUUGAGAUGGCCUCGCGUCCGAUUAGCUAGUUGGUGAGGUAACGGCCCACCAAGGCGACGAUCGGUAGCCGGACUGAGAGGCUGAACGGCUACAUUGGGACUGAGACACGGCCCAGACUCCUACGGGAGGCAGCAGUGGGGAAUAUUGCACAAUGGGGGAAAACCUGAUGCAGCGACGCCGGGGAGAGGAAGAAGGUCUUCGGAUUGUAAACUCCUGUUGUUGAGGAAGAUAAUGACGGUACUCAACAAGGAAGUGACGGCUAACUACGUG
rnacentral:rRNA from 1 species